rnacentral:rRNA from 1 species
UACGUAGGGAGCAAGCGUUGUCCGGAAUCAUUGGGCGUAAAGCGCGCGUAGGCGGCCCUGUAAGUCCGUUGUGAAAGUCAAAGGCUCAACCUUUGAAAGCCGAUGGAUACUGCAGGGCUAGAGUCCGGAAGAGGCGAGUGGAAUUCCUGGUGUAGCGGUGGAAUGCGCAGAUAUCAGGAGGAACACCAAUAGCGAAGGCAGCUCGCUGGGACGUGACUGACGCUGAGACGCGAAAGCGUGGGGAGCAAACAGG